CAGCAGCCACGGUAAUACGUAGGGUGCGAGCGUUAAUCGGAAUUACUGGGCGUAAAGCGUGCGCAGGCGGUUGUGUAAGACAGGUGUGAAAUCCCCGGGCUUAACCUGGGAACUGCGCUUGUGACUGCACAGCUAGAGUAUGGCAGAGGGGGGUGGAAUUCCACGUGUAGCAGUGAAAUGCGUAGAGAUGUGGAGGAACACCGAUGGCGAAGGCAGCCCCCUGGGCCAAUACUGACGCUCAUGCACGAAAGCGUGGGGAGCAAACAGGAUUAGAUACCCGGGUAGUCCCUGUCUCUUAUAA
rnacentral:rRNA from 1 species